rnacentral:rRNA from 1 species
UACAGAGGGUGCAAGCGUUAAUCGGAAUUACUGGGCGUAAAGCGCACGUAGGUGGUUACUUAAGUCAGAUGUGAAAUCCCCGGGCUCAACCUGGGAAUGGCAUUUGAGACUGGGCUACUAGAGUAUGUUAGAGGGAAGUGGAAUUUCCGGUGUAGCGGUGAAUGCGUAGAUAUCGGAAGGAACAUCAGUGGCGAAGGCGACUUCCUGGAAUAAUACUGACACUGAGGAGCGAAAGCGUGGGGAGCGAACAGGAUUAAGUAC